CUGAAAAAUAUAGUAUUUAUUUUAUAAUAUUAGUUAAGUAUUUUAUUAUUUUCUUUGCACUUUAGUAGUAUUAUUAUUAUUUUUAUUGUGUAUUACAGGUAUUUUAAGGAACUUAUCUCAAAAUAAAAAGCCACAAAAUAAAUGCAAAGUGUUCAAAAACACAUUGGAUCAAUGGAAGUGCAAGCCCAAAAGAAAAUUGGACGAACAGUGCCGGCCACACACAACCAAAAUGUGGCGCCGGCCACACAUAAUAAAAGCAUGGCGCCAGCCACACUUCAUAAAAAUAUGGCGCCAGCCAUGCAUUACAAGGCACCUGCCACUACUACAUUUAAGCAACUGCCACAUGCUAUUUUGCCACAGUCAUAAGCCUUCGUCCUCAAGUUUCGGAGCACGUGUGUUCUUAAGUUGCUUUUCUUUUGGUGCAAGUUCCUAACCUUCCGGUGCAAGCUCCUAUUUUUGCGGUCCAAGUUUAAGUCUAGAUAUUUUCUGUUCGUGCCUAUAAAUACAUACCAUCACUCAAUGUAUUUUUCUUGGGCCGGAACACACGCAAUUUUAGAGCUAAGAGCAAAACAGUUUAAUAUUUUCUGAGCAUUUAAAGUGUAGCUUGUGAUUUCAAUUCCAGUUCCGGUUCCAACUCUGUAUUUUAAGGAACUUAUCUCAAAAUAAAAAGCCACAAAAUAAAUGCAAAGUGUUCAAAAACACAUUGGAUCAAUGGAAGUGCAAGCCCAAAAGAAAAUUGGACGAACAGUGCCGGCCACACACAACCAAAAUGUGGCGCCGGCCACACAUAAUAAAAGCAUGGCGCCAGCCACACUUCAUAAAAAUAUGGCGCCAGCCAUGCAUUACAAGGCACCUGCCACUACUACAUUUAAGCAACUGCCACAUGCUAUUUUGCCACAGUCAUAAGCCUUCGUCCUCAAGUUUCGGAGCACGUGUGUUCUUAAGUUGCUUUUCUUUUGGUGCAAGUUCCUAACCUUCCGGUGCAAGCUCCUAUUUUUGCGGUCCAAGUUUAAGUCUAGAUAUUUUCUGUUCGUGCCUAUAAAUACAUACCAUCACUCAAUGUAUUUUUCUUGGGCCGGAACACACGCAAUUUUAGAGCUAAGAGCAAAACAGUUUAAUAUUUUCUGAGCAUUUAAAGUGUAGCUUGUGAUUUCAAUUCCAGUUCCGGUUCCAACUCUGUAAGUUACAUUCAGUUUUUAAUUUAAGUUAAUUUCAAUUCCAAUUUAAUUCCGUACUGUUA